ACAAGUGUUUGCCGAUGCUGUCAGGAAAUUCUUUUCUCUUUGAAUUAAGUUUAUUUUUCGGAUUUUUUUCAGUAAACAAGACUCAUUUCUCUUCUCCAGUAAAUGUAUCUUGAUUUAAGAAUGUUUAGAUAUUUGUGCUGGAAAACAAGACAAACUCAGUUUUUGCAGUGAAGUUGUACGCGUAUUUCUGGGUGUCGGGUCCUUCCGUGUUCAUCAGCAGUGGAGGACCGUUCUGCGUCCAGGCGUCUGUGCGUCUCUCCAAAGCCUUCUCACCUGCCUUCGAGCGGCUGGAGUACGGAUCUCAAGAUUAAUCCACGUGGACCGAGUCUCGCUGGAAGAGCAUCCGAGCGCGCGUCUUCCUGGUGGCCAGCCGAGAACUCGAGAUGUUAACACUGGGGGUGGGCGUGGCUGUGCUGCUGCUGUCUCCAUUGGUGACGUACUUCAUCAGCUCGAAGGCGGAGCUUUUGUUUAGCUCAUUAUACUCAAUAUAAAGAAUGUCUUGCUUCACUAUAUAUAUAUAUAUAUAUAUAUAUAUAUAUAUAUAUAUAUAUAUAUAUAUAUAUAUAUAUAUAAGGUCUGUUAUUUGCUGUGAACUUGCUAGUAAAACUUUACUGUAUUCAGAUGCAUUUGCUCCGUCUUUGAAAAUAAAGCUUGAAAUCUGAAAGAUUGAGAAGUGAUUUUUUUUAUUUUUUUUUACAAAGAGAAGAAACCACAACUUUUGGCACCCCAGAUGGGACUGGAUCGGAGCUGAGGUGGAGAACUGCAGGGCUUUGCUUUGAGCGGCCUGAUUUGCUCCUGAUGCGUUUGUAGCUCUGUACAGCUUUGUUUUGAAUCUCUUACUAUCAUUCCUUGUUGUUUAUAUUAUCAUCACCAUAUAUCUGAUAUUGUCUAAUAUUGCCCAUCACAUUAAUUUGAUGUCGCUAGCUUUUAAUCUAAAUCGCUUUCACCACGCGUUAGCAUUUCGCUAGCCUGUAAAGGAUUAGUUCACUUAGAAAUGAAAAUUAGCCCAA